UCUAAAACUUGAUUUCUAAGCUGAGCUGAAGAAAAAGAGAAAAACCGAAAUGCCAUUACUUUUGCUAUUAGACAUGUUAGAAGGCUAUUUGGCAGAUUGCUGUCAUAUCCAGUCUAAAAUCAAGUUAGAAAAGCUAGGCAUCGGCUAACUGAGAAAGAAGACAACCAUGGAUUGGGAAGGAAUGAAUGGUAUAGUCCAACAGUGGAGACAUCAGCAUUCUCCUUUUUUCAAGGCAAGAAAUACAAGAUAAAUGAUAGAGGGAUGAAGGAAGAGAAGAAAAGAAGAGAGGAGAGUGAGAGAAAGAGGGAGAGAGAG